rnacentral:lncRNA from 1 species
CCACUGCGCCCAGCCACCACAAACAAUUUUUUAAGAAAAGAAAGAACUUGGUGGCAAAAUGCUUAAAACAUAAGGACAACAAACCACUUAUUUCCUGAUAUGACAUAAAGAGGUCCCACCAUUGCACUCCAGACCAAUGUCACAACACAACAGGGAAACGCAAAGGCCCCAAGCAGGGGCUCUGGAGAAACCCUGGAAAGACACUCAUGACAAAUGCAAACAGAAACCAGUACAUGAGGCCACUUUCCCCUAGAGAGCCCACAGGAAGGAACCAGCGUUACCACGCGUACGGGAGAGUCUUGGGAUGGUGGUGCCGGCCCAGGACGCAGGACUCCAAUGGAGUCGUUGGUGAGAGCUAUGAGGAGGGCACUCCGCCUGCAGCCUAGAAACAUGCCCCUCUGACCCACCUCCAUUUCUAGAAACAUGCCCCUCUGACCCACCUCCAUUUCUAGAAACAUGCCCCUCUAACCCACCUCCAUUUCUAGAAACAUGCACAUAUGACCCACAAGUCCAUUUCUAGAAACAUGCCCCUUUGACCCACCUCCAUUUCCAGAAACAUGCCCCUCUGACCCACCUCCAUUUCUAGAAACAUGCCCCUCUGACCCACCUCCAUUUCUAGAAACAUGCCCCUCUGACCCCACAUCCAUUUCUAGAAACAUGCCCCUCUGACCCACACCUCCAUUUCUAGAAACAUGCCCCUCUGACCUCACCUCCAUUUCUAGAAACAUGUCCCUCUGACCCACCUCCAUUUCUAGAAACAUGCCCCUGUGACCCCACAUCCAUUUCUAGAAACAUGCCCCUGACCCCACCUCCAUUUCUAGAAACAUGCCCCUGUGACCUCACCUCCAUUUCUAGAAACAUGCCCCUCUGACCCACACAUCCAUUUCUAGAAACAUGCCCCUCUGACCCCACCUCCAUUUCUAGAAACAUGCCCCUCUGACCCCACCUCCAUUUCUAGAAACAUGCCCCUCUGACCCACACAUCCAUUUCUAGAAACAUGCCCCUCUGACCCCACAUCCAUUUCUAGAAACAUGCCCCUCUGACCCACACCUCCAUUUCUAGAAACAUGCCCCUGUGACCCCACCUCCAUUUCUAGAAACAUGCCCCUCUGACCCCACAUCCAUUUCUAGAAACAUGCCCCUCUGACCCCACAUCCAUUUCUAGAAACAUGCCCCUCUGACCCACACCUCCAUUUCUAGAAACAUGCCCCUCUGACCCCACCUCCAUUUCUAGAAACAUGCCCCUGUGACCUCACCUCCAUUUCUAGAAACAUGCCCCUCUGACCUCACCUCCAUUUCUAGAAACAUGCCCCUCUGACCCACACCUCCAUUUCUAGAAACAUGCCCCUGUGACCUCACCUCCAUUUCUAGAAACAUGCCCCUCUGACCCCACAUCCAUUUCUAGAAACAUGCCCCUCUGACCCCACAUCCAUUUCUAGAAACAUGCCCCUCUGACCUCACCUCCAUUUCUAGAAACAUGCCCGUGACCCCACAUCCAUUUCUAGAAACAUGCCCCUCUGACCCCACAUCCAUUUCUAGAAACAUGCCCCUGUGACCUCACCUCCAUUUCUAGAAACAUGCCCCUCUGACCUCACCUCCAUUUCUAGAAACAUGCCCCUCUGACCCACACCUCCAUUUCUAGAAACAUGCCCCUGUGACCUCACCUCCAUUUCUAGAAACAUGCCCCUCUGACCCCACAUCCAUUUCUAGAAACAUGCCCCUCUGACCCCACAUCCAUUUCUAGAAACAUGCCCCUCUGACCUCACCUCCAUUUCUAGAAACAUGCCCGUGACCCCACAUCCAUUUCUAGAAACAUGUCCCUCUGACCCCACAUCCAUUUCUAGAAACAUGCCCCUCUGACCCCACCUCCAUUUCUAGAAACAUGUCCCUCUGACCCCACAUCCAUUUCUAGAAACAUGCCCCUCUGACCCCACCUCCAUUUCUAGAAACAUGUCCCUCUGACCCCACAUCCAUUUCUAGAAACAUGCCCCUCUGACCUCACCUCCAUUUCUAGAAACAUGCCCCUGUGACCCCACCUCCAUUUCUAGAAACAUGUCCCUCUGACCCCACAUCCAUUUCUAGAAACAUGCCCCUCUGACCCCACCUCCAUUUCUAGAAACAUGUCCCUCUGACCCCACAUCCAUUUCUAGAAACAUGCCCCUCUGACCCCACCUCCAUUUCUAGAAACAUGCCCCUCUGACCCACACCUCCAUUUCUAGAAACAUGCCCCUCUGACCCCACAUCCAUUUCUAGAAACAUGCCCCUCUGACCUCACCUCCAUUUCUAGAAACAUGCCCCUGUGACCCCACCUCCAUUUCUAGAAACAUGCCCCUCUGACUCACCUCCAUUUCUAGAAACAUGCCCCUCUGACCCACACCUCCAUUUCUAGAAACAUGUCCCUCUGACCCACACCUCCAUUUCUAGAAACAUGCCCCUGACCCCACACCUCCAUUUCUAGAAACAUGCCCCUCUGACCCACCUCCAUUUCCAGAAACAUGCCCCUCUGACCCCACACAUCCAUUUCUAGAAACAUGUCCCUCUGACUCACCUCCAUUUCUAGAAACAUGCCACUCUGACCCCACACAUCCAUUUCUAGAAACAUGCCCCUCUGACCCACCUCCAUUUCCAGAAACAUGCCCCUCUGACCCCACACAUCCAUUUCUAGAAACAUGUCCCUCUGACUCACCUCCAUUUCUAGAAACAUGCCACUCUGACCCCACACAUCCAUUUCUAGAAACAUGCCCCUCUGACCUCACCUCCAUUUCUAGAAACAUGCCCCUCUGACCCCACCUCCAUUUCUAGAAACAUGCCCCUCUCACCCCACAUCCAUUUCUAGAAACAUGUCCCUCUGACCCCACAUCCAUUUCUAGAAACAUGCCCCUCUGACCCCACCUCCAUUUCUAGAAACAUGCCCCUCUGACCUCACCUCCAUUUCUAGAAACAUGCCCCUCUGACCCACCUCCAUUUCUAGAAACAUGCCCCUCUCACCCCACAUCCAUUUCUAGAAACAUGCCCCUCUGACCCACACCUCCAUUUCUAGAAACAUGUCCCUCUGACCCCACCUCCAUUUCUAGAAACAUGCCCCUCUGACCCCACCUCCAUUUCUAGAAACAUGCCCCUCUGACCCACACCUCCAUUUCUAGAAACAUGCCCCUCUGACCUCACCUCCAUUUCUAGAAACAUGCCCCUCUGACCCACACAUCCAUUUCUAGAAACAUGCCCCUCUGACCCCACCUCCAUUUCUAGAAACAUGCCCCUCUGACCCCACCUCCAUUUCUAGAAACAUGCCCCUCUGACUCCACCUCCAUUUCUAGAAAUUAAUCCUGCAGACAUGGUGUUCCCACACUGGCAUGAGGGUUGUCUGAAACAGGGAACAAGUCUCCAGUUUCUGGAACCCGUGCGGGCAGCUGCCUCUGGGGAGAUGAUGUGGAGAAGCUGGGAGAGGUCUGGGUGGGGUUCCCAGCUGUGCACCUCAUAACAGCCAACUGUAUGAUGUGUGCACUUCUAAACUUCCAGAAGUUUGCUUAAAAACACACGCACACCAGCCGGGCACGGUGGCUCACACCUGUAAUCCC